rnacentral:rRNA from 1 species
GUUGCCAGCACGUUGAUGGUGGGACUCAUGAGAGACUGCCGGGGUUAACUCGGAGGAAGGUGGGGAUGACGUCAAAUCAUCAUGCCCCUUAUGUCCAGGGCUUCACACAUGCUACAAUGGUCGGUACAACGCGUGUGCGACACUGUGAGGUGAAGCUAAUCGCUCUAAAGCCGGUCGUAGUUCGGAUUGGGGUCUGCAACUCGACCCCAUGAAGUCGGAGUCGCUAGUAAUCGCAGAUCAGCAACGCUGCGGUGAAUACGUUCCCGGGCCUU